GAUGAACGCUAGCGGCAGGCUUAAUACAUGCAAGUCGAGGGGCAGCACGGUUAGCAAUAACUGGUGGCGACCGGCGCACGGGUGCGUAACACGUAUACAAUCUACCUUAAACAGGGGGAUAGCCUUUCGAAAGAGAGAUUAAUACCCGUAAUAAAUUGAACGGCAUCGUUUGAUUUUGAAAGUUCCGGCGGUUUGAGAUGAGUAUGCGUCUGAUUAGCUAGUUGGUGAGGUAACGGCCCACCAAGACGAUGAUCAGUAGGGGAACUGAGAGGUUGAUCCCCCACACUGGCACUGAGAUACGGGCCAGACUCCUACGGGAGGCAGCAGUAGGGAAUAUUGGUCAAUGGAUGGAAGUCUGAACCAGCCAUGCCGCGUGCAGGAAGAAGGCCUUCUGGGUUGUAAACUGCUUUUGCCAGGGGAUAGAAUGACCUUGCGAGGUUAAUUGAAGGUACCUGGUGAAUAAGCCACGGCUAACUACGUGCCAGC
rnacentral:rRNA from 1 species